UAGGAUGACCUACAAAGGGAAGUGUGGA
rnacentral:piRNA from 1 species